AUUGAACGCUGGCGGCAGGCUUAACACAUGCAAGUCGAGCGGGGUGAUGGUGCUUGCACUAUCACUUAGCGGCGGACGGGUGAGUAAUGCCUAGGAAUCUGCCUGGUAGUGGGGGACAACGUUUCGAAAGGGAUGCUAAUACCGCAUACGUCCUACGGGAGAAAGCAGGGGAUCACUUGUGACCUUGCGCUAAUAGAUGAGCCUAAGUCGGAGUAGCUAGUUGGUGGGGUAAAGGCCUACCAAGGCGACGAUCUGUAGCGGGUCUGAGAGGAUGAUCCGCCACACUGGGACUGAGACACGGCCCAGACUCCUACGGGAGGCAGCAGUGGGGAAUAUUGGACAAUGGGGGGAACCCUGAUCCAGCCAUACCGCGUGUGUGAAGAAGGCCUUAUGGUUGUAAAGCACUUUAAGCGAGGAGGAGGCUUACCUAGUUAAUACCUGGGAUAAGUGGACGUUACUCGCAGAAUAAGCACCGGCUAACUCUGUGCCAGCCGCCGCCGUAA
rnacentral:rRNA from 1 species